rnacentral:lncRNA from 1 species
AGCCCACCUAGCACCUCUGACAUCUUUUGGCCAGUGUCAACCAAACUGCUGAGGCUGCAAGGCUCCCAGAACAGAGCCCUGGCAGUUCCCUCUAACUGACGGAAGGUUUGGAGAGGGAAGGGCCGGCAGCCCAGCCUAUGCUGCAUUUUGGUGGCAGCAGACCCUCUCACUGGUCUUUCCACAUUAAUGCUGACCUAGGGAUUGGAAGUCUACGUGCAGACUCCUCGGAGGAACGUUCGCCUUGCUGCCUGCUGCAGUGAGCGACUCUGCGUGUUGGGCUGCUGCCCAGCGUUAGGGCACCUGUAAACAACCAGCACCGAGAGAAGGGUUCUGCUGCCAGCUUCGGCAGAGUUCAGGUGUUCCGCACGGGGAGGAUGCUGAGCGGAUGGCUCUCAGGACAUCUUCAUCCAUGCCAGAGGCCACAAGUGGAGGUGAUGUGCAGCCACUAGCGUGUGUCUUGGUUCAGUCUUCUCUACAGACUGCGGAUGGAGCAGCACUGGCACUCUUCUGGAAGUUCCUCAGGCACCCACACUACUCACAAGGAAGAGACCCAUGAAUGGAGCCCUGCAGCACAGCCACGAAAAGCCGAGCACAUAGGCCGGACACUCUUGGUAUGGGUUCCCCAGCAGGUAAGCAAAAAUGAUUUCCUUACCUGUCCACAUAGAGUUUGUUGACCGUGGGGGAACAGACUCACUCAUGGCUGGGUGUAUACAGCAUCCAACACAUCGAUCUCCUGGGAAGCAUGGUUCCUGCUACAGUCCUGCUGGCUGGCAUGAGACAAAUCCUUCUUGUCUUAUUACAUUCUUCCACGUGUAAUAAGGCUCCAGUGCUCAGUGUGAGGUAAGGUUUCGAAGCUGGAGCUCAAUACACUGAUUACGAUAUGUAAGGAAAUGAGUUUGAGGCAGCCCAGUGCUACCGUAGGUUGGAGACCAAUUAUUGCAGACAUGACAGUCCAGUGCACCUGGUGGGAUGUAAACUGUCUUGGUUCUACUACUAUUAAUUCCAGUAGUAUCUGGCCAUGGACGUGUCUGACCCCAUUCUGCCCAGCAGCAGAGCAGGACACUGCUGCU